GGCGCAUGUGCAGUGAAGCGCGCCAACACCGAACAGACUGGACGACUGGAGCCAUUUUGAGCGUCUGCAUGCGAGACCUACGGGGUUUACUCGCAUCCAACGUGUUUCUUAAAGUCAUCGUUUUAUACUGAGCUCAAAGUCAGUGAAAAUCUGCACAUUUUUUCCUUGUGCCCUUCGAUGCCUGGCUAGGCUUUCUCACGUGUUUCCAGACUAACUCGACGGAGUCGACAAGACUGCAAACGUCUCAUUUAAAAACGCAAACCAUCCUGGAAGGUCUCCCUAUUUUUCUCUGUGAAGAUUCCUCUGCACUUUUUAAAACAUGCCUGGACGAGACUCCAGAGGACAGACAGACCAGAGGGAUGAAGGUGGGAAUCCUUAUUGUAAUUGAAGAUGAUGCCACCCCCACCACACUACCCAGUGUCAUAAAAUUUGCUGUUGUGUUGGAGGAGGUGAUUGUACUGAAAGAUGCUCCAGACUUGCAGUCUGCACUUGCAUACCUGUUCGGGCCUUCUGUUUGCCUUGGACUUUGAGUACCCAAAGCAACUAAAAUACACUUUCGAGGUUAUUGAGAAGGUGUUCAUGAAGAUGGGCACUCACUGUUCUCCUAGGGUACAGUCCCUCAAAACUAAGCUAUUACUGUGACGUUGCAUUUGUGGGGUGUUUGUAUCUUAAGCAGUUAAGAUGCAAGUGAAUAGUAUUGUUGUUUUUUUGUUUUUUUUGCAAUGUGCUUGCAUUUUGUUUGACUUGUUUUUGGUUCAACUGUGAACUUGAGGUUGUGAAAAACAUUGUGCCACUGUUUCAGCACUUUAAGCACAAACGUGAAAGGAACACGCUGUCUUUUUGGGACUUUAGCUUAUUCACCAUAUCCACCAGAGUUAGAUAAGUCCAUACAUACCCUUCUCAUCUCUGUGCGUGCUGUAACUCUGUCUGAUGAACCCACAGCUAGCCU